rnacentral:rRNA from 1 species
GAUGAACGCUGGCGGCAGGCCUAACACAUGCAAGUCGAGCGGAGCGGCGGACGGGUGAGUAAUGCCUAGGAAUCUGCCUGGUAGUGGGGGAUAACGUCCGGAAACGGGCGCUAAUACCGCAUACUAUCAGAUGAGCCUAGGUCGGAUUAGCUAGUAGGUGGGGUAAUGGCUCACCUAGGCGACGAUCCCUAGCUGGUCUGAGAGGAUGACCAGCCACACUGGAACGGAGACACGGUCCAGACUCCUACGGGAGGCAGCAGUGGGGAAUAUUGCACAAUGGGCGCAAGCCUGAUGCAGCCAUGCCGCGUGUAUGAAUAAGGCCUUCGGGUUGUAAAGUACUUUCAGCGGGGAGGCGUUACCCGCAGAAGAAGCACCGGCUAACUCCGUGACAGCAGCCGCGGUAAUAC